rnacentral:misc_RNA from 1 species
UUUUUGCACAGGCUUAUUUAUCUACUGCAGAAGAAAGAAGAUGACCCUCAGCAGUGUCUAUGAUACCAUUUUCAUGCGUCCACGUGGUAGAAAUCCUUACACCCUCCGUGUACCAAAUGACCCGACCUCACCAAUAUCUGAACGACCGAACCUACUGCCACCACCGGCAGACCUGCCGUCUGCUCCGCCCGUCAGACACCAGUUUAUACGAGCUCCUGCUGUCAGACAUCAGCCACUGCAGCAAGCGCCCCCUAUGGCCAGGGUCGACAGUAUGCAGACUCUUGCGUCCUCUUCCUCUUUUGUUCCGGUGGGACGUCCUCUUCGUAUGUAGACGAUGUUCGUUAUUAUCGAAAUUUCUCCUACGAGACACAACCUAGUGUUGCUCCUUCUCAAGCUCCCAGGAUUGAAAUUCAACCAAGUACGCCUUCAGCGUCCGAGAGAAGUUACUGUUCCUCUUGCAGACGAAAUAGAAGGAAGCGGGAUUUUCUGAGAACGUCAUCAAAUUGCACGAGUUGUGUUUCGCAAAGCUCGUUAUACACGCAAGUCGCGAGACCUGCACAGAGGAACCUUUCCCAGGACACCAACGAUACAAAUUCACUUCGAUCGCAAAGAACAUCAAGAGACACUAACGACACGAACUCUAUAAAAUCGCACAGAUCCCAUCGUUCGGGGCGUAACCAUAGUAGGGGCGUCUCGUCGAAGAUUUCCCGCCUUAAGUCACAAGCGGACUAUUUAAAUACGGAACAGAUAGCUACGCCACGAUCAUCAGCCGGUUCGCAACAUGACGUCACAGAUCCAAACCCUGUCACAAGGAGACAUAAAUUAGUUGAUCGUUUGGGUUCUUCAAGUGGAUUCAGGCUGGUAAAAAGAAUGUUUUCCAUUGAUCUAAAAUAGUUACAGAUGUAAAGGAUGCGAUGGAAUUUGUUCAGUGGUACAUCUCACGGAGUACUAGAUUUACCCGGUGAAAGCUCUUUGUAUCUGGUGAUCACAAAUGAUAUAAUGUAAAUAGUGAUCACAACGGUUUAAUGAAAUCCUAAGGUAGUCAUUCAAGUUGUAGAAUGACUGUAGUGAGCGAAGUGAUAUGGAGUUGGUGUGUUGUUUUCAUCAUUAGUAGUAUAGUAGUGUAGAUAGGCUACAGAGAACUGUGAGGAGAAUUAGAUCGAGUGUUCGAUUAGUAAUUCUUGAGGCUGUGAUAAAAAGUGGUCUUCAAUCUUGUAGUAGUAUGAUGACCAUCAUGAUGAUAAUUAGAUUGAGUAUAUAUUCAUAUAUUUAGAUUAUAAGUAUGAAUAUGUUAAUACUAAAUAUGAACUAUUUAAGUGGCUUAUAAUCUAUACCCUGAUCUUUAUACCUUAUAAGGAGUAGGGUCACGAUCAGAACCAAUAAAUGUUCAAAUUCUAUUUUAAUGUUUCAAGUGCUGAGUAGGGUAUCUCGAACUCAAUAAUUGAAAGUUGGUUGUCAAGUUGCUAGCAAGAUUUAGAACUCGCAAUUCUUUGUAAGGUAAAGAAAGCUUGUAUGAUGUUGUCCAUACAGCUCGAUGAAUAGAAAAUACCAUACAUGUAUUUGAAAAAAACCCCAAGAUUUGACGAACACAAUAUUAUAUUGUGUUCAUUAUUAAUUUGCAAAUAAAAAAUUGAUUUUGACUAAGCCUGACCAAUAUACACCACGUGUAUUAAAUAAACACACGACAAAGCCUUGUUUACAUUACAGAGAAUUGUGAGUUCUCGCUUGUUACUGAUGUCACAACUGGCAUUCAAAUUUUGGUUACAAUUUACGAAUACCUUCUGGAAGCAUUAAUUGUUAACAAACUAAUUUUGAUUAUCUUUUUUCUAAAUUCAAAUUGGUCCUCAGCCCGCCUGGCCCAUAUUUCAACUACUGAAUUCCAAAAACGAAUUUAAUAUUAUUUUACAUAAAUACCCCAAAAAAUGUUCUUUAAAUGAAAAAAGUAAGACAUACACAUUAUAAAGGUAUGUAAAAUAAUAGAUUAAUUUUAACGAUGCUGAACAGAGAUUCUAACAUCGUAACAUGAUUAAAUAAAAGACGAAAAUAAUGAAAUUGUGUUAAAUAUACAACUUUACAUAUUUCAUACGACUAACCGAUUACUGAUAAUAUCAGUAAUCGGUUAGUCGUAUGAAAUAUGUAAAGUGAUAUUGUUACCGGUUACUUUCGUUCCGAUCGAGUAAACGGUUAAUGGACACAAAACCCGUGGCUUGCGACGAUGCCUAGUUGGUUGUGGAUUUUAUUUAAUUUGAAGAUUUCUUUUCAAUUUUAUUUAUUCUCAGUUUUCUUUGAGUAAGGUUCAUUGAGCUCAUUUUCAUAUUUACAAUGUACUUGUAUCUAAAGAAAAAUAAUUUCAAGUAUAUGUACAUGUAAUUGCAUAUUUUUGCGAUGUCAUGCAAAAUAAACGGAUAAAUACAU